AGCAGUAGGGAAUCUUCCACAAUGGGCGAAAGCCUGAUGGAGCAACGCCGCGUGGGUGAAGAAGGUCUUCGGAUCGUAAAACCCUGUUGUUAGAGAAGAAAGUGUGUGAGAGUAACUGUUCACGUUUCGACGGUAUCUAACCAGAAAGCCACGGCUAACUACGUGCCAGCAGCCGCGGUAAUACGUAGGUGGCAAGCGUUAUCCGGAUUUAUUGGGCGUAAAGGGAACGCAGGCGGUCUUUUAAGUCUGAUGUGAAAGCCUUCGGCUUAACCGGAGUAGUGCAUUGGAAACUGGGAGACUUGAGUGCAGAAGAGGAGAGUGGAACUCCAUGUGUAGCGGUGGAAU
rnacentral:rRNA from 2 species